CUCGGAGCCAACCAAGUAUAGACUGAAACCUCCACAAACCGAUUUCUACUCUACUGUAAAGAUAUUUAAAGUGGAAGUCAUGAAAUCAUAUUGAAAUGGGUACCUGUAAGCAAGAAGCAGUUCCUCUACAGCAGCAGUAAAUGGCCAACAAAUAGUCCUAUGAUAAUGUGGUAUGAGACUGAAGCUUGGAGUUGCUACAGUUCUUCCGAUUGUGAAGGAAGCCAGACAGACAGCAAGGAUGGCAGAGGAGAGGACAGCUGGGGGAAUAGCAGCAGGCGCCUAGUGGUUUGUGGGUCAAAUCCUGACUGAAGUCAAUACCUAUUCUAUGCAAGCUUUUCUCCUUUGUUUUUUGUUUUUAUUUAUUUUUAUUUGAUGAAUUUAAAUCAGAUUUACUGUUAUUA